rnacentral:rRNA from 1 species
UUAAGCGACUAAGCGUACACGGUGGAUGCCCUGGCAGUCAGAGGCGAUGAAGGACGUGCUAAUCUGCGAAAAGCGUCGGUAAGGUGAUAUGAACCGUUAUAACCGGCGAUGUCCGAAUGGGGAAACCCAGUGCAAUUCGUUGCACUAUCGUUAACUGAAUACAUAGGUUAACGAGGCGAACCGGGGGAACUGAAACAUCUAAGUACCCCGAGGAAAAGAAAUCAACCGAGAUUCCCCCAGUAGCGGCGAGCGAACGGGGAGCAGCCCAGAGUCUGAAUCAGCUUGUGUGUUAGUGGAACGGUCUGGAAAGUCCGACGGUACAGGGUGAUAGUCCCGUACACCAAAAUGCACAGGCUGUGAACUCGAAGAGUAGGGCGGGACACGUGGUAUCCUGUCUGAAUAUGGGGGGACCAUCCUCCAAGGCUAAAUACUCCUGACUGACCGAUAGUGAACCAGUACCGUGAGGGAAAGGCGAAAAGAACCCCGGCGAGGGGAGUGAAAAAGAACCUGAAACCGUGUACGUACAAGCAGUGGGAGCACCUUCGGGUGUGACUGCGUACCUUUUGUAUAAUGGGUCAGCGACUUAUAUUCUGUAGCAAGGUUAACCGUAUAGGGGAGCCGCAGGGAAACCGAGUCUUAACUGGGCGUUAAGUUGCAGGGUAUAGACCCGAAACCCGGUGAUCUAGCCAUGGGCAGGUUGAAGGUUGGGUAACACUAACUGGAGGACCGAACCGACUAAUGUUGAAAAAUUAGCGGAUGACUUGUGGCUGGGGGUGAAAGGCCAAUCAAACCGGGAGAUAGCUGGUUCUCCCCGAAAGCUAUUUAGGUAGCGCCUCGUGAACUCAUCUUCGGGGGUAGAGCACUGUUUCGGCUAGGGGGUCAUCCCGACUUACCAACCCGAUGCAAACUACGAAUACCGAAGAAUGUUAUCACGGGAGACACACGGCGGGUGCUAACGUCCGUCGUGAAGAGGGAAACAACCCAGACCGCCAGCUAAGGUCCCAAAGUCAUGGUUAAGUGGGAAACGAUGUGGGAAGGCACAGACAGCCAGGAUGUUGGCUUAGAAGCAGCCAUCAUUUAAAGAAAGCGUAAUAGCUCACUGGUCGAGUCGGCCUGCGCGGAAGAUGUAACGGGGCUAAACCAUGCACCGAAGCUGCGGCAGCGACACUAUGUGUUGUUGGGUAGGGGAGCGUUCUGUAAGCCUGCGAAGGUGGCCUGUGAGGGUUGCUGGAGGUAUCAGAAGUGCGAAUGCUGACAUAAGUAACGAUAAAGCGGGUGAAAAGCCCGCUCGCCGGAAGACCAAGGGUUCCUGUCCAACGUUAAUCGGGGCAGGGUGAGUCGACCCCUAAGGCGAGGCCGAAAGGCGUAGUCGAUGGGAAACAGGUUAAUAUUCCUGUACUUGGUGUUACUGCGAAGGGGGGACGGAGAAGGCUAUGUUAGCCGGGCGACGGUUGUCCCGGUUUAAGCAUGUAGGCUGGUUGUCCAGGCAAAUCCGGAUAAUCAAGGCUGAGGUGUGAUGACGAGGCACUACGGUGCUGAAGUAACAAAUGCCCUGCUUCCAGGAAAAGCCUCUAAGCAUCAGGUAACAUUAAAUCGUACCCCAAACCGACACAGGUGGUCAGGUAGAGAAUACCAAGGCGCUUGAGAGAACUCGGGUGAAGGAACUAGGCAAAAUGGUGCCGUAACUUCGGGAGAAGGCACGCUGGUGUGUAGGUGAAGCCCCUGCGGGUGGAGCUGAGACCAGUCGAAGAUACCAGCUGGCUGCAACUGUUUAUUAAAAACACAGCACUGUGCAAACACGAAAGUGGACGUAUACGGUGUGACGCCUGCCCGGUGCCGGAAGGUUAAUUGAUGGGGUUAUCCGUAAGGAGAAGCUCUUGAUCGAAGCCCCGGUAAACGGCGGCCGUAACUAUAACGGUCCUAAGGUAGCGAAAUUCCUUGUCGGGUAAGUUCCGACCUGCACGAAUGGCGUAAUGAUGGCCAGGCUGUCUCCACCCGAGACUCAGUGAAAUUGAACUCGCUGUGAAGAUGCAGUGUACCCGCGGCAAGACGGAAAGACCCCGUGAACCUUUACUAUAGCUUGACACUGAACAUUGAGCCUUGAUGUGUAGGAUAGGUGGGAGGCUUUGAAGCGUGGACGCCAGUCUGCGUGGAGCCAACCUUGAAAUACCACCCUUUAAUGUUUGAUGUUCUAACGUUGGCCCCUGACCGGGGUUGCGGACAGUGUCUGGUGGGUAGUUUGACUGGGGCGGUCUCCUCCCAAAGCGUAACGGAGGAGCACGAAGGUUAGCUAAUCCUGGUCGGACAUCAGGAGGUUAGUGCAAUGGCAUAAGCUAGCUUGACUGCGAGCGUGACGGCGCGAGCAGGUGCGAAAGCAGGUCAUAGUGAUCCGGUGGUUCUGAAUGGAAGGGCCAUCGCUCAACGGAUAAAAGGUACUCCGGGGAUAACAGGCUGAUACCGCCCAAGAGUUCAUAUCGACGGCGGUGUUUGGCACCUCGAUGUCGGCUCAUCACAUCCUGGGGCUGAAGUAGGUCCCAAGGGUAUGGCUGUUCGCCAUUUAAAGUGGUACGCGAGCUGGGUUUAGAACGUCGUGAGACAGUUCGGUCCCUAUCUGCCGUGGGCGCUGGAGAAUUGAGGGGGGCUGCUCCUAGUACGAGAGGACCGGAGUGGACGCAUCACUGGUGUUCGGGUUGUCAUGCCAAUGGCACUGCCCGGUAGCUAAAUGCGGAAGAGAUAAGUGCUGAAAGCAUCUAAGCACGAAACUUGCCCCGAGAUGAGUUCUCCCUGAGACUAUAAGUCUCCUGAAGGAACGUUGAAGACGACGACGUUGAUAGGCCGGGUGUGUAAGCGCAGCGAUGCGUUGAGCUAACCGGUACUAAUGAACCGUGAGGCUUAACCUU